GGGGAUAUAGCUCAGUGGUAGAGCAUUCGACUGCAGAUCUGGAGGUCCCUGGUUCGAACCCGGGUGUCCCCU
rnacentral:tRNA from 1 species